UGACGGUACCCUACUAGAAAGGAGCCGCUAACUUCGUGCCAGAAGCGUCGGUGAUACGGGGGGCUCCAAGCGUUAUCCGGUGUAAUAGGGCGUAAAGAAGUCGAGUAAGUGGUAGGGUAAGUUAUCUGUCAAAUAUCUUUGCUUUAACAAAGAGGAGGGGGAUAAUACUGCUCGACUAGAAUUUUCUCAAGGGAGAUCGGAACUGAGGGAGGAGUAGUGAAAUGCGUUGAUACCCUCGGGAACACCAGUGGCGUAGNCGGAUCUCUGGGAGAAGAUUGACACUGAGACACGAAAGCUAGGGGAGCGAAGCAGAUUAGAGACCUGCGUAGUCCUAGCCGUAAACGCAUGCUUGCUAGCCGCAUGAAUCUACCUUCGGGUGGUAUCGUGUGGCGAAGGUAACCCGUUAAGCAAGCCGCCUGGAAAGUACGGCCGCAAGGCUGAAAUUCAAAGGAAUUGGCGGGGAGGCACACAACCAGUGGAACAUGUGGUUUAAUUCGAGACUAACCGAAGAACCUCACCAGGGUUUGACAUGUAGCUGCACGUCUUAAGAAAUUAAGACUCUCUUGAAGGUGCUACACAGGUGCUGCAUGGCUGUCGUCAGCUCGUUCCGUGAGGAGUGCCCUUAAGUGGGACAACGAGCGCAACCCCUAUUACAUGUUAGAAAUGUCAUGUAAGACUGCCUUGCCAUUUGGCGGGGAGGAAGGAGGGGCAGACGUCAAGUCCGCAUGGUCCUUAUGCCCUGGGCUACACACAUGUUACAAUGAGUACGGCAAUGAGUCUGUCGCGAGCACGUAAGUGUAAGCUAAUCUCUUAAAUGUACUCUCAGUGGGGAUUGAGGCCUGCAACUCGACCUCAUGAACACGGAAUUGGUAGUAAUCGCGGGUCAGCUAUACCGCGGUGAUACGUUCUUGCCUCUUGCACACACCGCCCGUCAAACCAGCAAAGUCGAUUGUAUCCGAACCUC
rnacentral:rRNA from 1 species